UCGAGAAUAAUUCGCAAUGGGCGAAAGCCUGACGAUGCGACGCCGUGUGAACGAUGAAGGCCUUCGGGUUGUAAAGUUCUGUCGCCUGUGAACAAGGUUAUCCUGUGAAUAAUGGGGUAAUUUGAGUGUAACAGGAAAGGAAGCACCGGCUAACUCCGUGCCAGCAGCUGCGGUAAUACGGAGGGUGCAAGCGUUAGUCGGAAUUACUGGGCGUAAAGGGUGCGUAGGCGGGAAUGUAAGUCAGAUGUGAAAAACCGAAGCUCAACUUCGGCAGUGCAUCUGAAACUGCGUUUCUAGAGGGAUAGCGGAGAAAACGGAAUUCCACGUGUAGCGGUGAAAUGCGUAGAUAUGUGGAAGAACACCUGUGGCGAAAGCGGUUUUCUAGCUUACCCCUGACGCUGAGGCACGAAAGCAAGGGGAGCAAACA
rnacentral:rRNA from 1 species